UUGUCCCAGUGACCCGACCCAACUAUUUAUACCCAACCCAUUCAAAACCAAAAGACCCAGACACAGUAUCCGGCCGACCCGCCCCACAUCUUUUUCUUCCUCAUAGUGAACCCAUCUAUCGCAUAACUGUUGUCGUCUUCCUCCAAUUUGUACGAGAUUUGUAGCAAACCAAGUUGUCCUCGUCCUUGAAGAACCGGGUGUCUCGAUCUUACUCCUUCUUCGUCCUUUUCUCAAAAUUGGACGGCCCUCACUCCUCUUCUGUUGGAAUUGGUACGACUGAUGGCUGUCCAACCUUAUCCUAAGAGUGGGAAUCCAAAUUUCAAAUUCAAAACCCAUUCCCUUUUCCCUCCUCAUGUUUAGAUCAUAUCUCCUUCUAUAUAAACCUUCUUUUACCUUCAUUUGGGUUUGGUCUGUUUUUUUUUUCUUUUUUUUAAAAGAACAGUGGAAAAAGUUGAGAAAAAGAUUUUUUACUAUGGGAAAGAAUAGCUUAGCUGAGAGAUAGAAGAUAAGAAUCGAAGUCAAUGUACGGAACUAUUUUGGGAGUAGGUUCUGCGAUUGUGAAGGUUCGAGGUGAUAUUCCUUCGGUUCUUUUUCUCAAAACCUCGAGAGAGUUCUCGGAACUUACAUUGUGGUGGUGGAAGUUCUGCUCGAGCUCGUAGUCUUAGUUCGCUGCCCGUAGAAAGGUCUAAUUUCUUUUGCGUGUUAUCUUGUCUCAAAUCUUCACUCAGUUCUCUUCUUACUCGAGUCACUCGUUCAAGCUGGAAUGGACUGAUGCAGGUAGGAUAGUUUUCAAUUUGCUUAGCGUCGAUAAUAUUUGUUUCGAAUCGACUCUAUUUUGAUCGAAUUUCAACCUGUGAUCUAGUAUAGUCCCUUUAUUUCGUGGAAGUUUUGAAAUUAAUUGACUGUUUACUUUGGUAUAGGAGUGAGAUUGUUCCUUCCUUUAUGUAUGUUUUUUAGCUAUUGCGUUAAAUUUUCUUUGCGGUUAUGCUAGUUCUCGUUUCCAGCAUGUUUUGAAGUGAUGUUGUGAAUCUAUUCUUAAGUCGUAUUCAUGGGUUCAGUUUAGAGAAUUCUCAUUAAUGUGUAUCGAAUGACGUUUUGAAUCAAGUAUCUCAAUCUAAUACUUUUACUUCACUGUUUCAAUAAUUGGUUUACUUUUGGCAAACUCACUUCAUUGUAUUACUUGUUUUUUUAAAAAAAUUUUAAGCUUCUAUAAUGAUCCAUUUCCUCUAAUUGUUUACUGUUAUAGAUUUUAGACUUAUUUUGCACGUGUAUGGGUUGUUGCCUUUAUUUUAAGUUGAUUGUUGUCCAUGAAGUAAAUGAUUAACAACCUUUUCAAUCUAAGAUGUUUUAAUCUUAUUUUUGCUUCAGGAAAGAAAUUUAAAUUUAUUAGUCGUGUGGUUACAUUAUCUUUCGUGUCUGUUGAGUAGCGUGAUAAGGUCGUGUUUGCUGGAACAUCUUAGAUUCAUUAUUUUUUUGGAAAUUUGUUCAAGGUGGAGUAGUCAAUUUAUAAUCACUUUUGUUAAUCCUACAAUAAGAUGCUAACUCUUGUUUAUGCAUUUUUUAAUGUGAAAUAUACCGAGUUCAUCGAGAACUCCUUCCUUCCUGCAUUUUGAGAAAACCAUAAAAUUCGAUGGGCAGAUUGUUGAAGUUGAACUAGCAUGCAGAUUAAAGAAAGCCGAAGAAGUUGGAUUAGAAGAUGCAAUUUAGUAUUAUUUUGUAUUUUGUUAUUUUCGGGCUUAAGCCAUUGUCGUUUAUUUUUUGUAUUUAUUUUGUAUUAAUUAUUUGCUUAGUUUAGGACAGGUACGGAAGAAAUGGGUCAAAAAUCCAAAAAGUCAAAUGGGUCAAAAACCCAAAACAGGUGGGUCCAAAAUUCUGGUCAAGGCGAACGGAUUUGGACUCAAAUUUCUCUCCUU